CUCUCACUGAUUACUUGAUGACA
rnacentral:piRNA from 1 species